rnacentral:rRNA from 1 species
CCCUUAGAUGUUCUGGGCCGCACGCGCGCUACACUGAUGAAUUCAACGAGCACUAACCUGUGCCGAAAGGUUCGGGUAAUCUUGUGAAAUUUCAUCGUGAUGGGGAUUGAUUAUUGCAAUUUUUAAUCAUAAACGAGGAAUGCCUAGUAAGCGUGAUUCAUCAGCUCACGUUGAUUACGUCCCUGCUCUUUGUACACACCGCCCGUCGCUCCUACCGAUUGAAUGUGCCAGUGAAAAGUUAGGAUUGGGCGUGGGAGACGGCAACGUAUUCCACAUCCGAGAAAAUCUUUAAACUUUCCCAUUUAGAGGAAGGAGAAGUCGUAACA